rnacentral:rRNA from 1 species
CUGGCGGCGUGCCUAACACAUGCAAGUCGAGCGAGGAGAUUCCUUCGGGAUGAUCCUAGCGGCGGACGGGUGAGUAACACGUGGGCAACCUGCCUCAUAGAGAGGAAUAGCCUUCCGAAAGGGAGAUUAAUACCUCAUAACAUUGCAGUUUCGCAUGGAACAGCAAUUAAAGGAGUAAUCCGCUAUGAGAUGGGCCCGCGGCGCAUUAGCUAGUUGGUGAGGUAACGGCUCACCAAGGCGACGAUGCGUAGCCGACCUGAGAGGGUGAUCGGCCACAUUGGGACUGAGACACGGCCCAGACUCCUACGGGAGGCAGCAGUGGGGAAUAUUGCACAAUGGGGGAAACCCUGAUGCAGCCAACGCCGCGUGAGUGAUGACGGCCUUCGGGUUGUAAAGCUCUGUCUUCAGGGACGAUAAUGACGGUACCUGAGGAGGAAGCCACGGCUAACUACGUGCCAGCAGCUGC